rnacentral:rRNA from 1 species
UACAGAGGUCCCAAGCGUUGUUCGGAGUCAUUGGGCGUAAAGGGUGCGUAGGCGGCGCGGUAAGUCGGGGGUGAAAUCUCGGAGCUUAACUCCGAAACUGCAUUCGAUACUGCCGUGCUUGAGGACUGGAGAGGAGACUGGAAUUUACGGUGUAGCGGUGAAAUGCGUAGAUAUCGUAAGGAAGACCAGUGGCGAAGGCGGGUCUCUGGACAGUUCCUGACGCUGAGGCACGAAGGUCAGGGGAGCAAACGGG